rnacentral:rRNA from 1 species
AGAGUUUGAUCAUGGCUCAGGACGAACGCUGGCGGCGUGCUUAACACAUGCAAGUCGAGCGGAAAGGCCCUUCGGGGUACUCGAGCGGCGAACGGGUGAGUAACACGUGAGGAACCUGCCCCUAACUCUGGGAUAGCUUCGGGAAACCGGAAUUAAUACCGGAUAUGACCAUGAUCGGCAUCGGUUAUGGUGGAAAGAUU